AGUGAACGCUGGCGGUAGGCCUAACACAUGCAAGUCGAACGCCAGCACAGUAAGAGCUUGCUCUUACGGGUGGCGAGUGGCGGACGGGUGAGGAAUACAUCGGAAUCUACUUUUUCGUGGGGGAUAACGUAGGGAAACUUACGCUAAUACCGCAUACGACCUACGGGUGAAAGCAGGGGAUCUUCGGACCUUGCGCGAUUGAAUGAGCCGAUGUCGGAUUAGCUAGUUGGCGGGGUAAAGGCCCACCAAGGCGACGAUCCGUAGCUGGUCUGAGAGGAUGAUCAGCCACACUGGAACUGGGACACGGUCCAGACUCCUACGGGAGGCAGCAGUGGGGAAUAUUGGACAAUGGGCGCAAGCCUGAUCCAGCCAUACCGCGUGGGUGAAGAAGGCCUUCGGGUUGUAAAGCCCUUUUGUUGGGAAAGAAAAGCAGCAGGUUAAUACCCCGCUGUUCUGACGGUACCCAAAGAAUAAGCACCGGCUAACUUCGU
rnacentral:rRNA from 1 species